rnacentral:rRNA from 1 species
UACGUAGGGUGCAAGCGUUAAUCGGAAUUACUGGGCGUAAAGCGUGCGCAGGCGGUUUUGUAAGUCUGACGUGAAAUCCCCCGGGCUCAACCUGGGAAUUGCGUUGGAGACUGCAAGGCUAGAAUCUGGCAGAGGGGGGGUAGAAUUCCACGUGUAGCAGUGAAAUGCGUAGAUAUGUGGAGGAACACCGAUGGCGAAGGCAGCCCCCCUGGGCUAAGAUUGACGCUCAUG